AAUUCGAUGAUACGCGAGGACCUUACCUGGGCUUAAAUGUAGAGUGCAUUGAGAGGAAACUUUUCAUUUUCUUUCGGAACUCUUUACAAGGUGCUGCAUGGUUGUCGUCAGCUCGUGCCGUGAGGUGUCGGGUUAAGUCCCAUAACGAGCGCAACCCUUAUCGUUAGUUGCCAGCGGGUAAUGCCGGGAACUCUAGCGAAACUGCCGGUGUAAACCGAGAGGAAGGUGGGGAUGACGUCAAAUCAGCACGGCCCUUAUGUCCAGGGCUACACACGUGUUACAAUGGCCGGUACAGAGGGCAGCUACCUGGAGACAGGAUGCGAAUCUCGAAAGCCGGUCUCAGUUCGGAUCGGAGUCUGCAACCCGACUCCGUGAAGCUGGAUUCGCUAGUAAUCGCGCAUCAGCCAUGGCGCGGUGAAUACGUUCCCGGGCCUU
rnacentral:rRNA from 1 species